GGGCCCAUAGCUCAGUUUGGUCAGAGCGGCGGACUCAUAAUCCGUUGGUCCCAGGUUCGAAGCCUGGUGGGCCCACCA
rnacentral:tRNA from 1 species